GAUGAACGCUAGCGGGAGGCCUAACACAUGCAAGCCGAGCGGGAUUUGUUGGUUAGCUUGCUAACUAACAAUGAGAUCGGCGUACGGGUGCGUAGCACGUGUGCAACCUGCCUUUAUCUGGGGGAUAGCCUUUCGAAAGGAAGAUUAAUACCCCAUAACAUAUUGAUUGGCAUCAGUUAAUAUUGAAAGCUCCGGCGGAUAGAGAUGGGCACGCGUAAGAUUAGCUAGUUGGUGAGGUAACGGCUCACCAAGGCUGCGAUCUUUAGGGGGCCUGAGAGGGUGAUCCCCCACACUGGUACUGAGACACGGACCAGACUCCUACGGGAGGCAGCAGUGAGGAAUAUUGGACAAUGGGUGAGAGCCUGAUCCAGCCAUCCCGCGUGAAGGACUAAGGACCUAUGGUUUGUAAACUUCUUUUAUACAGGGAUAAACCUACUCUCGUGAGGGUAGCUGAAGGUACUGUAUGAAUAAGCACCGGCUAACUCCGUG
rnacentral:rRNA from 1 species